rnacentral:rRNA from 1 species
UAGGUGACCUGCGGAGGAUCAUU